GACGAACGCUGGCGGCGUGCCUAAUACAUGCAAGUAGAACGCAGUUGCGAACGGGUGAGUAACGCGUAGGUAACUGCCUCAUAGCGGGGGAUAACUCUUGGAAACGAUAGCUAAUACCGCAUACUGUGAGAUGGACCUUCGUUUUAUUAGCUAGUUGGUGAGGUAAAGGCUCACCAAGGCGACGGUACAUAGCCGACCUGAGAGGGUGAGCGGCAAAACUGGGACUGAGUCACGGCCCAGACGUCUACGGGAGGGAGCAGGAGGGGAUCUUCGGAAAGUGGGGGAAGUCUGAAGGAGCAAAGCCGCGGGAGUGAAGAAGGGUUUCGGAGCGUAAAGCUCUGUUGUGAGAGAAGCGGUAACUAAACAGAAAGGGACGGCUAACUACGUGCCAGCAGCCGCGGUAAUUC
rnacentral:rRNA from 1 species